rnacentral:rRNA from 1 species
CCCUUAGACGUUCUGGGCCGCACGCGCGCUACACUGACCAGUGCAACAAGCAUCCGUCCUUGGCCGACAGGCCCGGGCAAUCUUUGAACGCUGGUCGUGAUGGGGAUAGACUUUUGCAAUUUUUGGUCUUCAACGAGGAGUUCCUAGUAAACGCAAGUCAUCAACUUGCAUUGAUUACGUCCCUGCCCUUUGUACACACCGCCCGUCGCACCUACCGAUUGAAUGGUCCGGUGAAGCCUCCGGAUUGGCGCGCACCUCGGUGCCGCCGAGAAGUUGGCUAAACCUUACCAUUUAGAGGAAGGUGAANUCGUAACA